CUGGGCUCAAGGGACCCUCCUGUUCAAUCACCCAAAGUGCUGGGAUUACAGGAGUGAGCCACCUCAUCUGACCUUGAUGGAUUCUUUUAAACUAAAUCUCAUCCUUUAAUAUUUCAAUCACACACACACACACACAACACACACCCACACACACACACCACAUAUACACCACACACACACCACACACACACCAUACACACCAUACACACACACCACACACACCCACACACACACCACAUAUACACACACACCACAUAUACACACACGCACACACGCACACACAUACACACCACACACACGCACACACGCACACACACAUACACACACACCAUACACACACCACACACACAUACACACCACACAACCACACACACCAUACACACACACCACACACACACACCAUACACAUACACCACACACACCACACACACCACACACACACCAUACACACACACCACACACACCACACACACCAUACACACUACACACACACCACACACACACCACACAGCCACACACCCACACACACACCACAUAUACACCACACACACACCAUACACACCAUCCACACACACCACACACACCCACACACCACACACCAUACACACACCACAUAUACACACACACCACAUAUACACACACACCACACACACCACAUAUACACACACACCACACACACCACAUAUACACACACGCACACACACACCACACACCACACACACAUACACACCAUGCACACACGCACACACACACCACACACACCAUACACACACCACACACCACACACACCACACACACCACAUAUACACCACACACACCACACAACCACACACCCACACCACACACACGCACCAUACACACACACCACACACCAUACACACACACCACACACACCAUACACACAACCACACACACCACACACACACGCCAUACCACACACCCACACCACACACACACCACACACACACCAUACACACACACCACACACACCAUACACACACAACCACACACACACCACACAACCACACACACACCACAUACACACCACAUAUACACCACACACACACCACACACACACACGCGUCUGCAGUAAGAAUUUUAUGAACCAACACUUACC
rnacentral:lncRNA from 1 species